AGUGAACGCUGGCGGUAGGCCUAACACAUGCAAGUCGAACGGCAGCACAGUAAGAGCUUGCUCUUACGGGUGGCGAGUGGCGGACGGGUGAGGAAUACAUCGGAAUCUACUUUUUCGUGGGGGAUAACGUAGGGAAACUUACGAUAAUACCGCAUACGACCUACGGGUGAAAGCAGGGGAUCUUCGGACCUUGCUCGAUUGAAUGAGCCGAUGUCGGAUUAGCGAGUUGGCGGGGUAAAGGCCCACCAAGGCGACGAUCCGUAGCUGGUCUGAGAGGAUGGUCAGCCACACUGGAACUGAGACACGGUCCAGACUCCUACGGGAGGCAGCAGUGGGGAAUAUUGGACAAUGGGCGCAAGCCUGAUCCAGCCAUACCGCGUGGGUGAAGAAGGCCUUCGGGUUGUAAAGCCCUUUUGUUGGGAAAGAAAAGCAGCAGGUUAAUACCCCGCUGUUCUGACGGUACCCAAAGAAUAAGCACCGGCUAACUUCGUG
rnacentral:rRNA from 1 species